UAAGGAAUAUUGGUCAAUGGACGCAAGUCUGAACCAGCUAUGCCGCGUGAAGGAUUAAGGUCCUCUGGAUUGUAAACUUCUUUUAUCUGGGACGAAAAAAGGUCUUUCUAGGCUUCUUGACGGUACCAGAUGAAUAAGCACCGGCUAACUCCGUGCCAGCAGCCGCGGUAAUACGGAGGGUGCAAGCGUUAUCCGGAUUCACUGGGUUUAAAGGGUGCGUAGGCGGGCAGGUAAGUCAGUGGUGAAAUCCUGGAGCUCAACUCCAGAACUGCCAUUGAUACUAUCUGUCUUGAAUAUUGUGGAGGUAAGCGGAAUAUGUCAUGUAGCGGUGAAAUGCUUAGAUAUGACAUAGAACACCCAUUGCGAAGGCAGCUUACUACGCAUAUAUUGACGCUGAGGCACGAAAGCGUGGGGAUCAAACAGGAUUAGAUACCCUGGUAGUCCACGCCCUAAACGAUGGAUACUCGACAUACGCGAUACACUGUGUGUGUCUGAGCGAAAGCAUUAAGUAUCCCACCUGGGAAGUACGUUCGCAAGAAUG
rnacentral:rRNA from 1 species